rnacentral:rRNA from 1 species
AUUGAACGCUGGCGGCAGGCCUAACACAUGCAAGUCGAACGAGUGGUGGACGGGUGAGUAAUGUCUGGGAAACUGCCUGAUGGAGGGGGAUAACUACUGGAAACGGUAGCUAAUACCGCAUACCAUCGGAUGUGCCCCGAUGGGAUUAGCUAGUAGGUGGGGUAACGGCUCAACUAGGCGACGCUCCUCAGCUGGCCUGAGAGGAUGACCAGCCACACUGGAACUGAGACACGGUCCAGACUCCUACGGGAGGCGGCAGUGGGGAAUAUUGCACAAUGAGCGCAAGCCUGAUGCAGCCAUGCCGCGUGUAUGAAGAAGGCCUUCGGGUUGGAAAGGACUUUCAGCGGGGAGGCGUUACCCGCAGAAGAAGCACCGGCUAACUCCGUGCCAGCAGCCGCGGUAAUAC